ACGUAGGUGGCAAGCGUUAUCCGGAAUUAUUGGGCGUAAAGGGUGCGUAGGCGGUUUGAUAAGUCUAAGGUGAAAGUUCGGAGCUUAACUCCGGAUUGCCUUAGAAACUGUCAGACUAGAGUGCAGGAGAGGGCAAUGGAAUUCCAUGUGUAGCGGUAAAAUGCGUAGAUAUAUGGAGGAACACCAGUGGCGAAGGCGGUUGCCUGGCCUGUAACUGACGCUGAAGCACGAAAGCGUGGGGAGCAAAUAG
rnacentral:rRNA from 1 species